GACGAACGCUGGCGGCGUGCCUAACACAUGCAAGUCGAACGGAGAUACGAUUUCGGUUGUAUCUUAGUGGCGAACGGGUGAGUAACGCGUGAACAACCUGACUCUUAGAGGGGGAUAACACUCGGAAACGGGUGCUAAUACCGCAUAAGACCACGACCCGGCAUCGGGAUGAGGUCAAAGGAGCAAUCCGCUGAGAGAGGGGUUCGCGUCCCAUUAGAUAGAUGGCGGGGUAACGGCCCACCAUGUCAACGAUGGGUAGCCGAGCUGAGAGGCUGAUCGGCCACACUGGAACUGAGACACGGCCCAGACUCCUACGGGAGGCAGCAGUGGGGAAUAUUGGGCAAUGGGCGCAAGCCUGACCCAGCAACGCCGCGUGAGGGAAGAAGGCUUUCGGGUUGUAAACCUCUGUCCUUGGUGACGAAACAAAUGACGGUAGCCAAGGAGGAAGCCCCGGCUAACUACGUGCCAGCCGCCGCGGUAAGAC
rnacentral:rRNA from 1 species